rnacentral:rRNA from 1 species
AAAUGACGGUACCUGACUAAGAAGCCCCGGCUAACUACGUGCCAGCAGCCGCGGUAAUACGUAGGGGGCAAGCGUUAUCCGGAUUUACUGGGUGUAAAGGGAGCGUAGACGGUAAAGCAAGUCUGAAGUGAAAGCCCGGGGCUCAACCCCGGGACUGCUUUGGAAACUGUUUAACUAGAGUGCUGGAGAGGUAAGCGGAAUUCCUAGUGUAGCGGUGAAAUGCGUAGAUAUUAGGAGGAACACCAGUGGCGAAGGCGGCUUGCUGGACAGUAACUGACGUUGAGGCUCGAAAGCGUGGGGAGCAGACAGGAUUAGAUACCCUGGUAGUCCACGCCGUAAACGAUGCAUACUAGGUGUCGGGGAGCAAAGCUUUCCGGUGCCGCCGCAAACGCAGUAAGUAUGCCACCUGGGGAGUACGUUCGCAAGAUGAAACUCAAA